rnacentral:rRNA from 1 species
UACGGAGGGGGCUAGCGUUGUUCGGAAUUACUGGGCGUAAAGCGCACGUAGGCGGCUUUGUAAGUUAGAGGUGAAAGCCCGGGGCUCAACUCCGGAAUUGCCUUUAAAACUGCAUCGCUAGAAUUGUGGAGAGGUAAGUGGAAUUCCGAGUGUAGAGGUGAAAUUCGUAGAUAUUCGCAGGAACACCAGUGGCGAAGGCGGCUCACUGGACCACAACUGACGCUGAGGUGCGAAAGCG